rnacentral:snoRNA from 1 species
UUUCACUCCAUUACAGAUGAAAGAAGAAAAUUUCCUCGUGCUUUCUGUCUGAUUGUGUCAGCCAAGAUUGAAUAGAGGAACACAGAG